ensembl:misc_RNA 7SK 7SK RNA
AGACUCUGUGGGGGCGAUCUGGCUGUGGCAUCUGUCACCCCAUUGAUUACCAGGGUUGAUUCCACUGAUGUGGCCAGCUCAGCGGCGUUCCCUUCCCGCCUGACCACUCCAUGUGCCUCCCUCCCAAAACUGUGUGCUCAGCCAAAGAAAAUGACCUUCCCAAAUAGAAAAGGACCGUUCUUCAGUCCGGGGUGUCCGAGCAGCCAUGCUUCCCUGCUAGAACCUCCAAAGAAGCUCUCGAGGUCCAUCCAUGGUGCAACAGGAAUCAGACCUUUGUUGCCAUUUAGGGUUUAAUACGAUUCCAUUGUAUGGAUUACAUCACAUUUU